rnacentral:rRNA from 1 species
GAGGGGCUCGCGGCCUAUCAGCUAGUUGGUGAGGUCACGGCUCACCAAGGCUAUGACGGGUAGCUGGUCUGAGAGGACGACCAGCCACACGGGGACUGAGACACGGCCCCGACUCCUACGGGAGGCAGCAGUGGGGAGUUUUCCGCAAUGGGCGAAAGCCUGACGGAGUGACGCCGCGUGGGGGACGAAGGCCUUCGGGUCGUAAACCCCUGUCAGAGGGAAAGAAGGGUCGCCUGGUUAAUACCCAGGUGAUCUGACGGUACCUUCAGAGGAAGCCCCGGCCAACUCUGUGCCAGCAGCCGCGGUAAGACAGAGGGGGCAAGCGUUGCUCGGAAUCACUGGGCGUAAAGGGCGCGUAGGCGGGAUGGCAAGUCGGUCGUGAAAUCCCUCGGCUCAACCGAGGAGCGUCGGCCGAUACUGCCGUUCUUGAGGGAUGCAGAGGAGACUGGAAUUCCCGGUGUAGCGGUGAAAUGUGUAGAGAUCGGGAGG